CUACACCAAAAUGUUCCCAGUGUCUUCCUCCACAACUGUCUUUUCCUCUGAGUUCUGAGAUUAGAUGUUCUUUCCCCUGAGGGUAGUAAUUGGAAUGUUUCAGAACGACUGUUCCAUCUACAAGUGUAUUUGUCUUCUGUGUGUUCAAAGUUAGAUGUGCUUCAACAGAAAGCGAGAUGCUUUAAUAACUGGACUUUCGAAAAGAUUGUCUUCUACAAAUAUCUUUUCCUCUCUGGUUAUAUAGUUGUGUUGAUUUUUCAUUC
rnacentral:lncRNA from 1 species